CACGUAGGGCGCGAGCGUUGUCCGGAAUUAUUGGGCGUAAAGAGCUCGUAGGCGGCCUGUUGCGUCCGCUGUGAAAGCCCGGGGCUUAACCCCGGGUCCGGCAGUGGAUACGGGCAGGCUAGAGGUAGGUAGGGGAGAAUGGAAUUCCCGGUGUAGCGGUGAAAUGCGCAGAUAUCGGGAGGAACACCGGUGCGAAGGCGGUUCUCUGGGCCUUACCUGACGCUGAGGAGCGAAAGCGUGGGGAGCGAACAGGAUUAGAUAC
rnacentral:rRNA from 1 species